rnacentral:rRNA from 1 species
AGAGUUUGAUCCUGGCUCAGGAUGAACGCUAGCGGCAGGCUUAACACAUGCAAGUCGAGGGGCAGCGGGAUGUAGCAAUACAUUGGCCGGCGACCGGCGGAUGGGUGCGUAACGCGUAUGCAACCUACCUUAUACAGGGGAAUAACCUUUCGAAAGGGAGACUAACACCCCAUGGUAUUGAUUUAAGGCAUCUUAGAUUAAUUAAAUAUUUAUAGGUAUAAGAUGGGCAUGCGUAUGAUUAGCUAGUUGGUAAGGUAACGGCUUACCAAGGCGACGAUCAUUAGGGGUUCUGAGAGGAAGGUCCCCCACACUGGUACUGAGACACGGACCAGACUCCUACGGGAGGCAGCAGUGGGGAAUAUUGGUCAAUGGGCGCAAGCCUGAACCAGCCAUGCCGCGUGCAGGAAAAGACGGCCUUAUGGGUUGUAAACUGCUUUUACAUAAGACUAACCGUAUAUUUGCGAAUAUACCUGAAUGUAUUAUGAGAAUAAGGAUCGGCUAACUCCGUGCCAGCAGCCGC